rnacentral:lncRNA from 1 species
UAUGGAACACACUAAAGACAAGAUUAAACCUCUGGAAAAACAGCUUACCUUUACCAAGGCCCCAGCGCCCAGCUUUAUACUUUUCAACUUUAUUUUGAAAACGAGGCCAUCUCAUGGGACAGAGACGGUGAUAUGGAUGGUACUUGAGGGUUUGUGUUUAAGUGCCUGGUGGUUCCAGGCCACAUCUGCUACCACACGUGGUUCUAGACCCUGGCUACACAGGUUCUGGGACAUGGUGUUG